CCUACGGGAGGCUGCAGUGGGGAAUAUUGCACAAUGGGGGAAACCCUGAUGCAGCGACGCCGCGUGAGUGAAGAAGUAUUUCGGUACGUAAAGCUCUAUCAGCAGGGAAGAAAAAAAGUCCUUUGGACUUUGGACGGUACCUGACCAAGAAGCCCCGGCUAACUACGUGCCAGCAGCCGCGGUAAUACGUAGGGGGCAAGCGUUAUACGGAUUUACUGGGGUUAAAGGGAGCGUAGACGGCAGUGCAAGGCUGGAGUGAAAUGCCGGGGCCCAACCCCGGAACUGCUUUGGAAACUGUGCAGCUGGAGUGCAGGAGAGGUAAGCGGAAUUCCUAGUGUAGCGGUGAAAUGCGUAGAUAUUAGGAGGAACACCAGUGGCGAAGGCGGCUUACUGGACUGUAACUGACGUUGAGGCUCGAAAGCGUGGGGAGCAAACAGGAUUAGAUACCCCAGUAGUC
rnacentral:rRNA from 1 species